rnacentral:rRNA from 1 species
AUUGAACGCUGGCGGCAUGCCUUACACAUGCAAGUCGAACGGUAACAGGUCUUCGGAUGCUGACGAGUGGCGAACGGGUGAGUAAUACAUCGGAACGUGCCUAGUAGUGGGGGAUAACUACUCGAAAGAGUGGCUAAUACCGCAUGAGAUCUACGGAUGAAAGCAGGGGAUCGCAAGACCUUGUGCUACUAGAGCGGCCGAUGGCAGAUUAGGUAGUUGGUGGGAUAAGAGCUUACCAAGCCGACGAUCUGUAGCUGGUCUGAGAGGACGAUCAGCCACACUGGGACUGAGACACGGCCCAGACUCCUACGGGAGGCAGCAGUGGGGAAUUUUGGACAAUGGGCGCAAGCCUGAUCCAGCAAUGCCGCGUGCAGGAUGAAGGCCUUCGGGUUGUAAACCGCUUUUGUACGGAACGAAAAGCCCUGGGUUAAUACCCUGGGGUCAUGACGGUACCGUAAGAAUAAGCACCGGCUAACUACGUGCCAGCAGCCGCGGUAACAC